UUGACAGACCCAGUGAUCAAAGUCUUCUUUUUAUCAACUGAACAGACAUAGCACAGAGAGUAAAAAUUUUCCAUCUGCCUAAACCACUGCUCUGAAGGUUUUACCUAUAAAAUAAUGAGAGAUUUUUCAAGCUCUUUGCCUUUUUCUUUCUCUUGAGAGA
rnacentral:sRNA from 1 species